UGGAGAGGCCCAAAAUUUUCACGCACGUAGUCUCUCUCAAUCUCUCAAUCUCUCACGUCUCUCUUUCUAUCUCAGGUCUCUCUUUCUCCCCACAUGAAAAACAGAUCAGGCCGUCUCCCGUAGGUCUCCUUCGGACGCCGCCCUUCCCAACCGCAGCUGCAUCCAGCAUCCCCAGCUGCCGCUCUUCCUAAUCCUCUUUCUUGAUGAGUGUUAUCUUUGGGACGUUUCUGCCUUCGGUCUUUCAUCCACGCUGGAAUCGAUCUGAAGAAACUAGGACUGAAUCUGUCCAAUAUGGUUGAUGCAUCGGAGGAGGCGUACCAUGUACCACAACAGUUUGAAGCAGAUUGUGCUGAUCGCCCCUGCAUCCAUUAGCACGCAAGUAACUAGGUAUCCUUGAAUUUCCUGAUUUGGAUAAUUUCUACUCCUAAAAUUUAUCUCUAAUACUCUGUCCAGAAGGUUGGUGCUAGCUCUGCAAUUUUGAAAGGCUGAUUUGUGGCAAGUGCGUGUCUAAGUAAACUUGGAUUUGUGGUUUUGUAAGGCUGAUGAGGAUGACGGAUGAUAUAGGCUGAUUUUUUUUCAUCCGCUAUGAGGCACUUCAGCCCGGCCCUUGCCUACGCCAUAAUCCGAGCUGCUUAGUGUGUACCUCUCAAUGCCCCAGCCGGAAGCCCGGAACAACCAUGACCAUGUACCUGUUGGGGAUAACCUCUCGGCGACUCCAAUGUUUUAUUACGAUCUCUCUACUAGGCAUACCAUAGAUCGUGAAGUGUGGCAUCAAGAACCUCAGCACGCUGCAGGAGAAGACGAUGAAGAUCAGCAAGGAAGUGGUCGGUGGUGUGCUUCAAUCUCUUCUACGAGGUUUGUACUGUUGAUUGAUUUUUUCUGUUAUCUCAUGUCAUAUCUGUGAGUCGUCGACCCGGCAAUGGCAGUUGCGGAUGCGUUGGCCUCAUCCCCACCGGAAAUCCACUUUAAGCGCGAACUUAGUGGGCAUGAGCAAACUAGUCUAGCGGUUUUGCGACAACUGAUUAGCCCGAUAGGUCUCUCGGACCAGCCAGACACGGUAAGUUGGGCGCUCACCGGGUCGGGCAAGUUCAUGGUUAAAUCCUUAUAUCACAAAAUGUGCCAAGGGCCAGCUCAACUUGUGGUCAAAAGGGCUGUGGAAAGCGCGGCUGCCUUUGAAGAUAAAACUAUUCCUUUGGCAAAUGUUCCGCAAUAAACUUCCCACCUCCCUGAGCAUAGCCAAACGCAAUGGUCCGGCCACCGACCCUUGCGCGUUGUGCGGUGCACAUGAAGAUGCCAAUCACGUCUUCUUUCGGUGCCCACUAGCGAGGUUUGCGUGGAACGCGGUUCGUACCGCGACAGGUGUCCAGUGGGACCCUCGAUCUGCGGCAGAGCUAAUUCAGUUAUUAGAUGCGAUCCAGGGCCCUGUUAAACGUGUAAUGUGGAGCUGUGCAGGGGCACUCCUUUGGGCUUUGUGGUUAACUAGGAACAAACUUACCAUCGAGGGAUGUUUUCCAUCACAUCCGGCUAAUGUUAUCUACAAAUGCAACCUAUUCUUGCAACAGUGGAGUCCGUUUGGGAGGCGCAAGGAUGCUGAGAUGCUCAAGACUGCCCAAGACCUUUUGAUCCAAGUGUACGUGCUUGCUAGGGAGCCUUCGACCACAUAUUAGGAUGUGGUGUAUUUUGGUGCUUGACGAGCCUGCGCGCUCUGUACGGGCCUACGCCUUGUAAGACUGCUCGUGGCAUGUGUGCCCUUCGUCGUAACUGCAACGGUUCAUGCUUGCGAGGGCCUGAAUGGCUUUUGGUGUUGUAUUAAGACUUGUGUUCUGAUACGCUGCUUGUUGGGGGCUUUAUUAAGUUAAAGCUGGACGCAUCUAGCGUCUUCGUUCUAAAAAAAACCAACGAUCUAGCCAUCAGCGGCUGGAUUUUUCUUUUA